UUUUAAUGCUCCCAAAGAUCAUCCUAGGAAAACCUCAUCUCCUAGGAAAUUCCUUUGAGGUCCCAUGUGAAACACACACAAGUCUUCCUGUGCACACACUGGGUGCUGGGACUGAGUAGGCAACCAGAAGCAGCAACUAGGGUGAGAGAUCACUUCAUGUCAGGAGAAGCUUGCCUUUGAUUUGACCCCAGCUACAAGUCACAGGAGUUGAGUUGAAAAGUCUCCCUUUCUGUAGAAGCCUGGCCUGGGCACCAAUCUCCUCUGUUGUGGGUCCCACUGUCUCUGGGACCAGAGACAUUCUGAGCACAGGCCCUAGGAAGAGUUACUCCUCCAGACCCCAGACUUGUGAUCAGGUUCCAUGGAAACCAGCACACCAGGAGGUAAACAUGGUCAGCCAGUCAUGACCAGGUGCAUGAUAAUCAGGUUCAGAAAUCAUUGAGAAUUUGAAAAUCACUACAGCAGAGCAUGGCAGCUAGCACAGGGUCCUUCUAAACGUGAGAUC